AAUUAUCAACCUUGCUCGCUUUUACCGGCUUGAGUUAGGCUUGGAUGUGGGGGUUUUUGCUGGCUUCCUUCAGUGGAUGGUCUGCUCCCCUUAAAUGCAUUAGCGGGAUCUCUUGUGGACCGUCACUUGGUGUGAUAAUUAUCUACGCCACGUUGACUAUGAAGCAAAACUUAUGGGAAUCCGCUCAUAACCGUCCCUUGUGGACAACUCUUGACA
rnacentral:misc_RNA from 1 species